rnacentral:lncRNA from 1 species
UUUUUGAUUGUGGACUCCAUCCAGCAGUCCAACCAGAGAUCUAUGACCUGCUGCCUCCAGGAUAGCGGAGGAAAUGCCACACCCGCCACCUACGUCCUGCUGUGAAACUAAGAUAAACACCACCUCUCAAGAACCUCAACAAGAAUAAAAAAGUGGUUCCGCUUCCUGACACCCACAAGGCAAAACUGUGGAAGAACGUAAAGUGGGAGUCAAAUAAGGCUAUGGAUUGACAGUAGAACCCAACCUGGGUUCAUAACAAAAUAAGCAAGUGGAGAGUUUGAAUACACCACUGGGCUUCUGAAGCCAGCAGCAGAAAGCAGAAGAAAAACUCCAGGAAACACAUUUCUCUCUCAAGGAAGAAAAUAUGGCAAAGGAAACUCUUUCCACCACCACCAAAGGAGGAGAGGCUGUUCAAGGCUGGCAAAAGUCAAAAGCCUCUUAGAUAAAAUUCUGGGAGCACUUCUGGUUCGGGAUCACUGUUCAUGGGUCCCGGCUU